rnacentral:lncRNA from 1 species
CUCAAAUAUCUAAGACUGUCUCCUCAAAUCAAAUGGUUCGUACUUACGACUUUAAAUCUAUAUAGAGCUUAUGCUGACUGGGGAUCAUUAUUCAGCUAUAUUAUUUUAAAAUAGGCUGGGGCGUUUGGGGUUAAACAUGUUUCCGUAGUUAGAUACUAUUGCUGUGGAACUUUUUUUUCAUGAGAGUGUAAUAGUCUAUAGAGCAUUACUUUCUGUUUGGUGGAAUAGUGAAAUAGAAGUCAAUAUGUUCUUGCUAAAUCCUGUGUCGCUUUGAAGGUGUCACGAUUGUCAUCCUCAGCCUACGCAAUGUGUUACUGUAAUUUGAAUUUCAAAAUGACUGAGAGACGUUUUAUUCGCCCUCUACGCCCCCCUCUGGAUCCGCCACUGAAUUAAAAGUCCGAGUUGAAGUAUCGGAAACCAGUUCACAUUAACUGAAUCCUAUAGUCUGUUAUCACGAAACCAAAAAAGGUUUACCAAGUUUGUUUUCACUUUAAUCAUAUUUUUACAAUGCUAAUUUUGAUAAUUUUCUUUAAAUUUUAAGAAGGGAAAAUUCUGUUAACAGUUAAUUUUUAGAGUUUUCUUUUAUUAAUCAUUCAAUAUUCAUUAUAUUUUUAGACCACGCAUUUCUCUAAUCUUUAUUUUUU